AACCUUCUGUAUCCGUGCUGAGAUUUCGUCAACGAUCAAUGGCACUGGCUGAUGCAACUUCCCAAAUAAGUGAAGUG
rnacentral:pre_miRNA from 1 species